rnacentral:pre_miRNA from 1 species
UUUCAUGGGUGAGCAAAGAAAGUAGUUUCUUGAGAUGGAAUUACUCUUGGUGAAGACAAUGUGAA